UCUGGCUCAGGACGAACGCUGGCGGCGUGCUUAACACAUGCAAGUCGAACGAUGAAGCCCAGCUUGCUGGGUGGAUUAGUGGCGAACGGGUGAGUAACACGUGGGUGAUCUGCCCUGCACUUCGGGAUAAGCCUGGGAAACUGGGUCUAAUACCGGAUAUGACCAAAGGCUGCAUGGUUUUUGGUGGAAAGUUUUUCGGUGCAGGAUGAGCCCGCGGCCUAUCAGCUUGUUGGUGGGGUAAUGGCCUACCAAGGCGACGACGGGUAGCCGGCCUGAGAGGGCGACCGGCCACACUGGGACUGAGACACGGCCCAGACUCCUACGGGAGGCAGCAGUGGGGAAUAUUGCACAAUGGGCGAAAGCCUGAUGCAGCGACGCCGCGUGAGGGAUGACGGCCUUCGGGUUGUAAACCUCUUUCACCAGGGACGAAGCGCAAGUGACGGUACCUGGAGAAGAAGCACCGGCCAACUACGUGCCAGCAGCCGCGGUAAUACGUAGGGUGCGAGCGUUGUCCGGAAUUACUGGGCGUAAAGAGCUCGUAGGCGGUUUGUCGCGUCGUCUGUGAAAUCCCGCAGCUCAACUGCGGGCUUGCAGGCGAUACGGGCAAACUCGAGUACUGCAGGGGAGACUGGAAUUCCUGGUGUAGCGGUGAAAUGCGCAGAUAUCAGGAGGAACACCGGUGGCGAAGGCGGGUCUCUGGGCAGUAACUGACGCUGAGGAGCGAAAGCGUGGGUAGCGAACAGGAUUAGAUACCCUGGUAGUCCACGCCGUAAACGGUGGGCGCUAGGUGUGGGUUUCCUUCCACGGGAUCCGUGCCGUAGCUAACGCAUUAUAGCGCCC
rnacentral:rRNA from 1 species